CAGUCGCCGCGGGAAUACGAAGGGUGCAAGCGUUACUCGGAAUUACUGGGCGUAAAGCGUGCGUAGGUGGUUGUUUAAGUCUGCUGUGAAAGCCCUGGGCUCAACCUGGGAAUUGCAGUGGAUACUGGGCGACUAGAGUAAGGUAGAGGAUAGUGGAAUUUCCGGUGUAGCAGUGAAAUGCGUAGAGAUCGGAAGGAACAUCUGUGGCGAAGGCGACUAUCUGGGCCAUUACUGACACUGAGGCACGAAAGCGUGGGGAGCAAACAGGAUUAGAUACCCGCGUAGUCCCUGUCUCUUAUAC
rnacentral:rRNA from 1 species